rnacentral:rRNA from 1 species
GAUGAACGCUGGCGGCGUGCCUAAUACAUGCAAGUCGAGCGAACGGACGAGGAGCUUGCUUGUCUGAUGUUAGCGGCGGACGGGUGAGUAACACGUGGAUAACCUACCUAUAAGACUGGGAUAACUUCGGGAAACCGGAGCUAAUACCGGAUAAUAUUUUGAACCGCAUGGUUCAAUAGUGAAAGACGGUUUUGCUGUCACUUAUAGAUGGAUCCGCGCUGCAUUAGCUAGUUGGUAAGGUAACGGCUUACCAAGGCUACGAUGCAUAGCCGACCUGAGAGGGUGAUCGGCCACACUGGAACUGAGACACGGUCCAGACUCCUACGGGAGGCAGCAGUAGGGAAUCUUCCGCAAUGGGCGAAAGCCUGACGGAGCAACGCCGCGUGAGUGAUGAAGGUCUUCGGAUCGUAAAACUCUGUUAUUAGGGAAGAACAUAUGUGUAAGUAACUGUGCACAUCUUGACGGUACCUAAUCAGAAAGCCACGGCUAACUACGUG